rnacentral:rRNA from 1 species
UACGGAGGGUGCAAACGUUGCUCGGAAUCAUUGGGCGUAAAGCGCACGUAGGCGGUCGGCUACGUCGGAUGUGAAAGCCUCGGGCUUAACCCGAGAAGGGCAUCCGAAACUGGCCGGCUUGAGUACGGAAGAGGGUCUCGGAAUUCCCGGUGUAGAGGUGAAAUUCGUAGAUAUCGGGAGGAACACCAGUGGCGAAGGCGGAGACCUGGGCCGAUACUGACGCUGAGGUGCGAAAGCGUGGGGAGCAAACAGG